rnacentral:tRNA from 1 species
CCGCCAGGGGCAGCGGGAGGUGCGCCGCGCCACCACCGUCGCCGGCGCCGUGCUCGGGGCGCGGCCGCUGGUCGUGCCCGCGCUGGUGGU